GCCGACGUGAGGUUAAUUGGCAACCUCCCUGCGGGGUAUGCGGGUUCGACUCCCGUCGUCGGCA
rnacentral:tRNA from 2 species